AUGAAGCUGGAUUCGCUAGUAAUCGCGCAUCAGCCACGGCGCGGUGAAUACGUUCCCGGGCCUUGUACACACCGCCCGUCAAGCCAUGGAAGCCGGGGGUGCCUGAAGUGCGCUGCCGCAAGGAGCGUCCUAGGGUAAAACCGGUGACUGGGGCUAAGUCGUAACAAGGUAGC
rnacentral:rRNA from 1 species